GGUUGUGUCGCCAGACGCAUUGCCGGGUAGCUAAGUGCGGAAGAGAUAAGUGCUGAAAGCAUCUAAGCACGAAACUUGCCAAGAGAUGAGUUCUCCCAAUCUAAGAGAUAGUAAGGGUUGUUGUAGACUACGACGUAGAUAGGUCUGGUGUGUAAGUGUAGUGAUACAUUGAGCUAACAGAUACUAAUUGCCCGAGAGGCUUAACUAUACAACGC
rnacentral:rRNA from 1 species